rnacentral:rRNA from 1 species
UGCAGUCGACGGCAGCACGGAGCUUGCUCUGGUGGCGAGUGGCGAACGGGUGAGUAAUAUAUCGGAACGUACCCUAGAGUGGGGGAUAACGUAGCGAAAGUUACGCUAAUACCGCAUACGAUCUAAGGAUGAAAGUGGGGGAUCGCAAGACCUCAUGCUCGUGGAGCGGCCGAUAUCUGAUUAGCUAGUUGGUAGGGUAAAAGCCUACCAAGGCAUCGAUCAGUAGCUGGUCUGAGAGGACGACCAGCCACACUGGAACUGAGACACGGUCCAGACUCCUACGGGAGGCAGCAGUGGGGAAUUUUGGACAAUGGGCGAAAGCCUGAUCCAGCAAUGCCGCGUGAGUGAAGAAGGCCUUCGGGUUGUAAAGCUCUUUUGUCAGGGAAGAAACGGUGAGAGCUAAUAUCUCUUGCUAAUGACGGUACCUGAAGAAUAAGCACCGGCUAACUACGUGCCAGCAGCCGCGGUAAUACGUAGGGUGCAAGCGUUAAUCGGAAUUACUGGGCGUAAAGCGUGCGCAGGCGGUUUUGUAAGUCUGAUGUGAAAUCCCCGGGCUCAACCUGGGAAUUGCAUUGGAGACUGCAAGGCUAGAAUCUGGCAGAGGGGGGUAGAAUUCCACGUGUAGCAGUGAAAUGCGUAGAUAUGUGGAGGAACACCGAUGGCGAAGGCAGCCCCCUGGGUCAAGAUUGACGCUCAUGCACGAAAGCGUGGGGAGCAAACAGGAUUAGAUACCCUGGUAGUCCACGCCCUAAACGAUGUCUACUAGUUGUCAGGGUCUUAAUUGACUUGGUAACGCAGCUAACGCGGGAAGUAGACCG